rnacentral:rRNA from 1 species
AGCGAACGCUAGCGGCGGGCUUAACACAUGCAAGUCGAGCGCUUCACUUCGGUGAAGAGCGGCGGACGGGUGAGUAACACGUAGGUUACCUGCCCCUGGGUGAGGGACAACCGAGGGAAACCUCGGCUAAUACCACAUAUGGUCUACGGAUCAGAGGCUUCGGCCGCCCGGGGAUGGGCCUGCGUCCCAUUAUUUAAUCCUAGUUGGCGGGGUAACGGCCCACCAAGGGUACGAUGGGUAGCUGGUCUGAGAGGAUGAUCAGCCACACUGGAACUGAGACACGGUCCAGACUCCUACGGGAGGCAGCAGUGGGGAAUAUUGCGCAAUGGGCGAAAGCCUGACGCAGCCACGCCGCGUGAGUGAUGAAGGCCCCAGGGUCGUAAAGCUCUGUCGGGGGGAGGAAGUACUUGACGGUACCCCGAACCAAAGACGCCGACCGUACUACCGUCGCGACGA